rnacentral:rRNA from 1 species
GAGUUUGAUUCUGGCUCAGAACGAACGCUGGCGGCGUGGAUAAGACAUGCAAGUCGAACGAGACGGAGGGAGCUUGCUCCCAAUGUCUAGUGGCGAACGGGUGAGUAACACGUGAGCAACCUGCCCUGAAGUGGGGGAUAGCCUUCCGAAAGGAAGAUUAAUACCGCAUGUGAUCGCAAGAUUAAAGGUGUCCGCCUCGGCGGAUGCCGCUUCUGGAUGGGCUCGCGGCCUAUCAGUUUGUUGGUGAGGUAACGGCUCACCAAGACGAUGACGGGUAGCUGGUCUGAGAGGAUGAUCAGUCACACUGGAACUGAGACACGGUCCAGACACCUACGGGUGGCAGCAGUCGAGAAUCAUUCGCAAUGGGCGAAAGCCUGACGGUGCGACGCCGCGUGGAGGAUGAAGGCCCUAGGGUCGUAAACUCCUGUCAUCAGAGAGUAAUGGCUUACGGUAAAUAGCCGUGGGUCUUGAUAGUAUCUGAAGAGGAAGGGACGGCUAACUUCGUGCCAGCAGCCGCGGUAAUACGAAGGUCCCAAGCGUUGUUCGGAAUCACUGGGCGUAAAGCGUGUGUAGGCGGCGUGGAAAGUCAGAUGUGAAAUCCCGG